ACUCCUACGGGAGGCAGCAGUGGGGAAUCUUAGACAAUGGGCGCAAGCCUGAUCUAGCCAUGCCGCGUGAGUGAUGAAGGUCUUAGGAUCGUAAAGCUCUUUCGCUGGGGAAGAUAAUGACGGUACCCAGUAAAGAAACCCCGGCUAACUCCGUGCCAGCAGCCGCGGUAAUACGGAGGGGUUAGCGUUGUUCGGAAUUACUGGGCGUAAAGCGCACGUAGGCGGAUCGGAAAGUUGGGGGUGAAAUCCCGGGGCUCAACCUCGGAACUGCCUUCAAAACUAUCGGUCUAGAGUUCGAGAGAGGUGAGUGGAAUUGCGAGUGUAGAGGUGAAAUUCGUAGAUAUUCGCAGGAACACCAGUGGCGAAGGCGGCUCACUGGCUCGAUACUGACGCUGAGGUGCGAAAGUGUGGGGAGCAAACAGGAUUAGAUACCCUGGUAGGCUCUGC
rnacentral:rRNA from 1 species